CUAAUACUCCUCAUGCUGGCCAAAACAACAAAUCAAAGCAUCAAAGUUAGAAACUAAAGAGAGAGAGAGAGACGGUAGGGAAGAUACCACAUAGAAAAACUAAAUCGAACCACCAUACUCUGUUUUUAGCAAGCACCAUACCAAGACGAAAUAUGUUAAAGAAAAAUAGGAAAAAGAAUAUACUAUAUACUCACCGCUACCAUUCUUUGUAAUCCCCCCAAAAAAUAACACUCUUCUCUCCCCCUUAGAAAUAGCCUGAUGCCAAAGGGAUCAUAGUUAAGCACUAUAGUGUAAUACCAGUGAAAAUAUUUACUGAAGUAUCAAAAGCACCAUACCUAGGGCAGGGAAAUCUGUGCAAAUUUGACAUAAGAGAGUGUAGACUUGUCUUGAAUAAAACAAUUAUAUGAGAUGUGCCUUCUUCCUAUUGCCAUUCAGUCAACCAUGUCGCCACUGUCCUCACAAACUGGAACUCCCCUGCCUCCCUUUUCCACUCAUACAUGACCAAAGAAAACCAUGAACAUAGCCAAACCAGAUCAGAUCCGGGCUCAAUUCACGCAAAUGCAUAUACAAAAAUCUUAAGAAUGCACAAAGAGCUUUUAGAUAUGCACCACCUGGGGGCAUUCAUAGAAGGUGAAGUUUUGAGAUAAACUUGGAAACUAAGCAUCUGAGAUCAGUAAUAAUAACAUAAAGAAAAUCCAUAAUCUAAUUAAUUAGUCAGUAAGAGAACGAUCUAUGUGAGCCACCUUUAAUCGAUGAAUUAGGGAGAGCUUCCAUGUUUGCUUUUAGCAAGUUCAGAAAAUGCUUUGCUGUACUGUUCGGCAAUGCUCAGGCUGGCAGC
rnacentral:lncRNA from 1 species